ensembl:lncRNA
GGGGGUGCAAGCUUACAGAUAGAGCAGAGGGGGUGCAUGAGGAGCCCCGGGGUGGAGCGGUGUGGGGUGGGCACGGGGUUGGGGUGUCAGGGGGGUGUGGGUGUGCGCAGGAAGGAGAGUAAACAAGGGGAGGGCGAGGGGGAGUCACGGGAUGGGCUGUGGGGGAAGGGGCUGCUCCCGUGGGGACAAUGCGGGGGCACGGCGACGCCGUGGGGGCGGAGGGAAGGGCCCCCACCCUAUGGCCGCGGCAUGGGGUCACGCUGCGGCCGGGCGCAGCUCCAGGCCUCUCCUCCAUCUCCUCCUCUGAGUCAUCCCGCUGCGCUCCCUGGGGUGCCCCGCAGCUGUGGACCCCCCUCCCGCCCCAUAGGCUCCUCAUUUGACCCCACAGCAUCCCCGACCCCAUGGCGUCCCCGACCCCAUAGCAUCCCCUCCUCGUGCCGCUGCGGUUGGGGGCUGUUUUCCCCCCCUGCCCCACAGCUGCUGUCCGUCUCUUGCCCCCCCCCAAACGCCACGGUGUCGCCACUGGUGACCCCACACGCACCGUGGGGCACAGAGCUGUGAGCACAGCGGGGUGCUGGGGGGGGUCAGGAAGGGAUGGGGGGGUCUGGGGAGCGGCGGGAGGGCGGAGAUGUGAUGGCUGAGGAAUUGGGUUUGGGAAGAGGAGAGGAGCACGGAGGGGGAGGCAGAGCUGAGCACAGCAGGCAGCAUCCACCCCACAGCCCCCCCCAGCAGCACCCCGGGUUGCUCGGGGAGUUUGUCCCCCCUUUCUUGUCCCCUCCCUCCCCCCCGUUUCCAGGGCAAUCCAGAUGUUUGGGCGCAGCUCCGGCAUUGCUCAGCCCUGCUGCUCUGCCAGAUGUUUCCUCUCCCCUCGGCGCACGCGUUUCCCCGCUGCCAGCACCUCCCAUCCCACGCGCCGUGCGCAGGAUCUGCUGCCUGCAUCUCUUUGCCCAUCUGCUGCUGCUGCUCCUGGGGAGGGGAGCGGGGGGGUCUGCUGCUCCCUUUGGAGCUGCGACUCAUCCACGAAGAGCCGUGCAGGGUGGAUGCAGGGAUGUGCUGGGUGCUGGGGUGCUGGCACCGUGGGGAUGCAGUGGGGAUGCAGUGGUGCAGGGAUGCUGUUCUAUGGGGUGCAGUGGGGAAGCAUUGGGUGCAAGGAUGCUGGCACCAUGAGGAUGCAAUGGGGACGCAGAGGUGCAGGGAUGCAGGCACCAUGGGGAUGCAGUGGGGAUGCAGUGGUGCAGGGAUGCUGUCUCUAUGGGGUGCAGUGGGGAAGCAUUGGGUGCAAGGAUGCUGGCACCUUGGGGAUGCAAUGGGGAUGCAGUGGUGCAGGAAUGCAGGCACCAUGGGGAUGCAAUGGGGAUGCAUUGCUGCAGGGAUGCAGGCACCAUGGGGAUGAAAUAGGGAUGCAAUGGGGAUGCAUUGCUGCAGGGAUGCAGGCACCAUGGGGAUGCAAUGGGGGUGCAUUGGUGCAGGGAUGCAGGCACCAUGGGGAUGCAAUGGGGAUGUAAUGGGGAUGCAUUGCUGCAGGGAUGCAGGCACCAACAGCGGUGCCUGGCCCUGCUGCUGCUGCAGGACCCCCGAGACCCCCCUCCGUGCUCCCAUUUUUUGCACGCACGGAGCGGCCUCCAUGCAGCUCCCAUGCGCUGCGCUCCCCUCCCUCCUGGAGCAGCACUUUGGGACCCAACCCACAACCGACCCGUGUGGGGGCCAGCAGUGGUGGGAUUUUCCCCGGGGUUGGGGCUGCCACGCUGCUCCCCCUGCAGACCUGGAGGCGCUGCUGGCCGACCUGAGCUCCUUCCUGCUCCUCCUCGACCGGGAGAACCUCAGCGCCGCAGCCCGAGCCAAGAAGCAGUCGGUGGGAGAGCUGCUGCAACGGCUGCAGGGCCCGGCAGCAGCAGCAGCAGAGGAUGCGGAGUACAUGAUGAUGCGCUGCCUCUCGCCUUCCUCGGGGACCCGGCAGUGCCGGGGUGGUGCAGGAGCUGCAGUGAUGGAUGCAAGAGGAGGGAGAGCGUGUGAGCGUCUCCAGGGCAGCACCCAGAGCUCACAGGUGGGGGUAAGGAUGGGGGGAGGAAAGCUGGGGGGGGGGAGGAGGGGGUCUGGGUGCAGCCAUCCCUGCACGGCGGCUCUGGGAAGCGCUGGGUGUGAGUGAGCUCCCAUCCGUCCCCUGUGGUCCCCUUGGGGACCCCCCCGCCCCCCUCAGAGAAAGGCACGGGGCUCCUCGCCCCCCCCGCCACCCGAGGGUUCCUACGAAGA